rnacentral:lncRNA from 1 species
GAGUGUGGGGAAGGCCAUAGAAAGGACCGGCGAAUGCUGGCAUUGAUGUGUGUUAUUUUAACAUUUCUGAAAUCCUGUUCUUAGUCUGCACACCUUGUCCGAGGCUCCGAUGUUAUCCAGGUCACCAGGUAUGCCCCUGGGCUCCUGCCGCAGCUGAUCGGGUGCUAGGUGCUGAGGAUACACGAUGAAGAGACUGGGGCUCCAGGAAUUGACUUUCCCAGAAUCCCAUUGUCACUUCAGGGCUCUCAAGAUGUUGCCUUCCAGAAUUCUGCUUGCUCGUAUCAGGUUCUCCUAAAGAAAGGAAGCCAUUAAACAAGAAAAGAAACCAACAUUCCGUUAUGGAUUAAAAAUAUGCUGUCAUUCACCUAUUAGCUCUUCUACAUUGGCCAGGAUGGAGGCGACAUUUCUGGUUUUCUUAUCUUUCCUCUUGUUUUAGCAGAAUUUGAGGAAUCUGCUUAACCAUUUGUACUUUGUUCUACUGCCAGUCCAAACAAUUUCAAUCAAUGGAUUCCCAAGCCAAGCUUCUAACUACAGCUCACCAGGCAUCCUAGUUGGACUGAUUUUGUUUUUGUUUUGAGAAAUUAUGAAAUAGGCAAGUUGUCUUACAUGUAAGUAUUGACCAUUUGGGAAAAGCUGUUAUUUGCCUUCAGUUAAAAUAUGCAAGAAAA